CAUUACGCAAGUAAGUAAGAUCCCUCAAAGACGAUGAGGUAGAUAGGUUCGGGGUGGAAGCGUGGCGACACGUGCAGCUGACGAAUACUAAUCGAUCGAGGACUUAACCAAAUA
rnacentral:rRNA from 1 species